rnacentral:lncRNA from 1 species
CUGGGAUUACAGGCGUGAGCCACUGCACCCAGCCAAUUUUUAAAAUUUUUUCUAGAGUCGGGGUCUCACUGUGUUGCCCAGGCUGGUCUGGAACUCCUGGGCCCAAGCGAUCCUCCCGCCUGGGCCUCCCCAAGGUGCUGGAAUUACAGGCGUCAGCCACUGCACCCAGCCCAAGGUGCAGAGAAUUUAAGUAACUUGCACAGAUGACACAGCCCUGGAAGGAGGUUUCAAACCCAAGAAAAGAAACUUUCAGAGGCUUGGAAGCCCAGCCCUGCCCAGCCUCCUUGUGUCCUGAUGGCUGGAAGACCAGCCCAGCCCUCAAGAGGCUGCCUGGCUGUGAUUAGUGGGAGUCAUCAUGAGGAUGUCCAAGGACCCACUACACCCCAAGCAUGUGAGCUGUGGAGGAUCCCUCCAUUCGUGGGUCCAGGAGGAAUUGAAGCAGCUCACAAAACCCAGAAGCCUGAAAAGUCAAAAACCCAGAAGUUUGGCCAGAUGUGGUGGCUCACGCCUGUAAUCCUCGCACUUUUGGAGGCUGAGGAGGGAGGAUUGCUUAAGCCAGGAGUUCAAGACCAGCCUGGGCAACAUAGUGAGAUUCCACCUCUACAAAAAAUAAAAAUAAAUCAGCUGGAUGUCGUAGUACACACCUGCAGUCCCAGCUAUUUGAGAGACUGAGGCAAGGAGGAUCACUUGAACCCAGGAGGUUGAGGAUGCAGUGAGCUAAGAUCACACCACUGCACUCCAGCUUGGGUGACAGAGCAAGACCUUGUCUCAAACAACAAAACCCAGAAGUCUGAAAAGUUACAACGUGAAAGAGGACAUCAAGUGAAGGGAAAAAUCAUGGUAGGAAAGAAAGAUGAAGCCAGCAGUCCCCACUCACUGAGCUAGAAGACCUGGAACACUAGACAGAGGUGGUUCUGAGCUUCCUAGUGGCUGAGGAGAGGAGUGAAAGCGGACCCCAGCCCCCGAUCUAGCAUGGGAGGAUGAAAGCACAGCCAUUGUUCUGGAGACACUUUCUGGUUGUCAUUAUACAGGCUCCCUGGAGGAUGUGCCUCCUCCCCCUUCAGGAUUUAGCUCCUCUACUUCCCCUGGGCUGGUGUGGGCACAUUGUCUGUGCUUUGACAGUCCCUAGAUCCCAUGUGUUCUAGAACCUUCUCUCCCAAAGCAGAACUUUUUUUUUUUUUCCUGUUUUCUGUUUUUUAAAUCUAUCUCAGCCUCCUGACAAGCA